rnacentral:tRNA from 1 species
UUAUUAUUAUUAUGGCGGGAAUAAAAAGAAACAAUUUCCAAAUCUAAAUGAUGAAUCAAAAAUUUCUAUGGAA